rnacentral:rRNA from 1 species
CCCCGCACAAGCAGCGGAGCGUGUGGUUUAAUUCGAUGCUACACGAAGAACCUUACCAGGGUUUGACAUGCAAGUGGUAGGAAGCCGAAAGGUGACCGACCCUUCGGGGAGCUUGCACAGGUGCUGCAUGGCUGUCGUCAGCUCGUGUCGUGAGAUGUUCGGUUAAGUCCGCUAACGAGCGCAACCCUCGCUGUGUGUUAUAUGUGUCACACGGGACUGCCGGUCUUAAGCCGGAGGAAGGUGGGGAUGACGUCAAGUCAGCAUGGCCUUUAUGUCCUGGGCUACACACACGCUACAAUGGCCAACACAAUAGGUUGCUAAGCCGCGAGGUGGAGCCAAUCCUCAAAGUUGGUCUCAGUUCAGAUUGCAGGCUGCAACCCGCCUGCAUGAAGAUGGAGUUGCUAGUAACCGCAGGUCAGCUAUACUGCGGUGAAUACGUUCCCGGGGCUU